rnacentral:lncRNA from 1 species
CCAAACCCAGUAACAGAACGGUCUUGUUUGGCACCAAGCUCAGAGUCCAAAUCCCACCACUGCCAAACUCUAUACUAUCCCCAGUUCAGUCACCUAAAUCUCCAGGGGACUUUGGAAUUAAAACCUCCAUGAACUCGCAAUUAUCAGCAUCUGGUUCAGUCAAUUCUGGCAUCCAAGCAAAGGAUUCUCCUCAGGUGUUCACAGGUUGCAUGUCAAUGAGUGAAAUGGAGCUCUCUGAAGACUAUACAUGUGUCAUAACUCACGGACCCAAUCCAAAGACCACUCAUAUCUUUGAUAACUGCAUCGUUGAGAAUUAUUGCUCCUUAUCGGAUACGUCCAAAUCUGUGCCCAGGAGUUUCCUUAGCUUCUGUUACACUUGCAAGAAGAAUCUUGAACAGAAAAAUGACAUUUACAUCUACAGGUUUGGACCAUUUUCCUUCUUUUUUAAAAGAUGCAACAUGUCUCCCCCUUUUCAGUUUGAAAGACCCAAGUCUCCAAAAACAACUGCUUUUACUGUUCUUCUCAUUUAAUAUCUGUGACCCAAAACCACUAUGGGCCUAAUUGUCUGUUAUCCUUGCAAUGCAGAGG